rnacentral:rRNA from 1 species
GACGAACGCUGGCGGCGUGCCUAAUACAUGCAAGUCGAACGCAGUGGGGACGGGUGAGUAACACGUGGGUAACCUCCCCAUCAGAGGGGAUAACCCUUGGAAACAGGUGCUAAACCGAUAUUGAUGGAUGGACCCGCGGUGCAUUAGCUAGUUGGUGAGGUAACGGCCCACCAAGGCCACGAUGCAUAGCGGACCUGAGAGGGUGAUCGGCCAAACUGGGACUGAGAAACGGCCCAGACGCCUACGGGAGGCAGCAGUAGGGAAUCUUCGGCAAUGGACGAAAGUCUGACCGAGCAACGCCGCGGGAGUGAAGAAGGUUUUCGGUUGGUAAAGCACGGUUGUGAGAGAAGCGGUAUCUAACCAGAAAGCAACGGCUAACUACGUGCCAGCAGCCGCGGUAAUAC